ensembl:lncRNA
ACCGGGACUGGACCGGGACUGGACGAGGACUGGACCGGGACUAGACCGGGACUGGACCGGGACUGGACCGGGACUAAACGAGGACUGGACCGGGACUGGACCGGGACUAGACCGGGACUAAACGAGGACUGGACCGGGACUGGACCGGGACUGGACCGGGACUGGACCGGGACUAAACGAGGACUGGACCGGGACUGGACCGGGACUAGACCGGGACUAAACGAGGACUAAACGAGGACUAGACCAGGACUAGACCGGGACUAGACCGGGACUGGACCGGGACUGGACGAGGACUGGACCGGGACUAGACCGGGACUGGACCGGGACUAAACGAGGACUAGACCGGGACUGGACCGGGACUGGACCGGGACUAAACGAGGACUGGACCGGGACUGGACCGGGACUGGACCGGGACUGGACCGGGACUGGACCGGUCGACGAGGACUAAACGGGGACUGGACCGGGACUGGACCAGGACUGGACCGACCAGAGCUGGGAGGACGCCAACCACACGGCCAUAACUCAGGGAUCUAACCGCGAUACCACCAAAGUCCAGAGUCUCACUGACCGCACGCUCGUCCUGAAGUUCUGUUUGAGCUACGUCCACUUCUUUGCCCUGUGCCAAACGUUCAUAGAGGCGUCCUGCUCAGUGGUCUGCAGCUCUGACCCUCCUCUGACCUCAGCUCCUCCUCUGACCUCAGCUCCUCCUCUGACCUCAGCUCCUCCUCUUCCUGCUUCUAUCUUCGUCCCGGUUGUCGUCCUGACCUCGGUGCUCGUCGUGGGGCUGGUGCUCGUCGUGGGGCUGGUGCUCGUGUGGUUCCUGUCCCCAAAGUUCAGGCGCUGGAUACGUGGAUUCGCCCAGAGCUGUGUCUCCAAAAGGCCCGAGGAUCCCGGAGCCGAGGAGAGCGGAGCGCCGCUCACUCACGUCACCGCCGCUUAACCGAUGCCGCGGCGGGAUCAAAACACUGAUGGUGCGGUCUCUUUGUGAAACAGCCACGGUCACUCAAAUCAGACGCCACGGUCACUCAAAUCAGACGCCGCGGUCACUCAAAUCAGACGCCGCGGUCACUCAAAUCAGACGCCGCGGUCACUCAAAUCAGACGCCGCGGUCACUCAAAUCAGACGCCGCGGUCACUAACGCCGCGCUCCAGUGUCCUCAGAGCUCAGAGUUUACAUUUAAGUGUAAAUUUAAGAUUCAAGAAUCAUUUUGACUAUUUCAUCUUUUCAAUAUAUUUAAACUUGGAUAAAGUUUUAGCCAGUUUUGAACGCACCAGCGCCCCCAUGUGGCCGUUUCACCGAACACCUGAAAGUGUUUUUAUCCCUCGGCUCAUUAUCUCUGCUUCUGCUUCUGCUUCUGCUUCUGCUUCUGCUUCUGCUUCUGCUUCUGCUUCUGUUUGUUGUGCUACACUUUGGGCACAGAUCUUUGGUGAAUCUGGGAUGUUGUUCCACAUCUUGGUUUGGAGUCUGGCUCCCUCUAGUGUCCACAGGACGCCAGGUUUUCCCAAUCCAAGUUUGAACAGAUCCAGACGUGCGGCUUUAGUUUUGACUAAACGCACAGAGUGAGAGUCAGUACAGUUACAAACAUAGUGUCAUUAUAACACUGUGAUUAUACUGUAAUUAUACAG